rnacentral:rRNA from 1 species
UACGUAGGGUGCGAGCGUUAAUCGGAAUUACUGGGCGUAAAGCGUGCGCAGGCGGUUUUGUAAGCCAGAUGUGAAAUCCCCGGGCUCAACCUGGGAAUGGCAUUUGGAACUGCAAGGCUGGAGUUUGGCAGAGGAGACUGGAAUUCCUGGUGUAGCAGUGAAAUGCGUAGAUAUCAGGAGGAAUACCGAUGGCGAAGGCAGGUCUCUGGGCUAUAACUGACGCUCAUGCACGAAAGCGUGGGGAGCGAACAGG